rnacentral:rRNA from 1 species
UACGUAGGGUGCGAGCGUUAAUCGGAAUUACUGGGCGUAAAGUGUGCGCAGGCGGCCGCGCAAGUCGAGUGUGAAAGCCCCGGGCUUAACUUGGGAAUUGCGCUCGAAACUACGUGGCUGGAGUGUGGCAGAGGAAGGUGGAAUUCCACGUGUAGCGGUGAAAUGCGUAGAGAUGCGGAGGAACACCGAUGGCGAAGGCAGCCCCCUGGGCCAACACUGACGCUCAGGCACGAAAGCGUGGGGAGCAAACAGG